GAUGAACGCUAGCUACAGGCUUAACACAUGCAAGUCGAGGGGAAACGACAUCGAAAGCUUGCUUUUGAUGGGCGUCGACCGGCGCACGGGUGAGUAACGCGUAACCAACCUGCCCACCACUUGGGGAUAACCUUGCGAAAGUAAGACUAAUACCCAAUGAUAUCUCUAGAAUACAUCUGAAAGAGAUUAAAGUUUUAUCGGUGAUGGAUUGGGAUGCGUCUGAUUAGCUUGUUGGCGGGGUAACGGCCCACCAAGGCGACGAUCAGUAGGGGUUCUGAGAGGAAGGUCCCCCACAUUGGAACUGAGACACGGUCCAAACUCCUACGGGAGGCAGCAGUGAGAAAUAUUGUUCAAUGGGCGAGAGCCUGAACCAGCCAAGUAGCGUGCAGGAAGACGGCCCUAUGGGUUGUAAACUGCUUUUAUAAGGGAAUAAAGUGAGUCUCGUGAGACUUUUUGCAUGUACCUUAUGAAUAAGGACCGGCUAAUUCCGUGCCAGCCGCCGCGGUAACAC
rnacentral:rRNA from 1 species